rnacentral:lncRNA from 1 species
AGCAUGAACUGCCGGAGGAAACUCUAAGCCGCAUCAAUAACGGCAGCACCAUGCAAAGUGACAUCGACUUAAAGGAAGAAAUGCUAAGAAAUAUGUCUAUAAAUUGUAGUCAAGGCAAUGAUCUUCUGCAAUCUCUAAACAGAGAACCAAAAAGAUGGUACAGCAAAAUAUACACUGUUAAACCUUCCUCUCAGCACACAGGCAAAAAUGUUGAAAUAUACUGGUUCUGCUAUGGUAUAAAAUGUUAUUAUUUCAUCCUGGACCAAAAAACCUGGAUCCAAUGUAAACAAGCCUGCCAGAAGUUCAGAUUAUCCCUUCUGAAGAUAGAUGAUGACGAUGAACUGAAGUUCCUUCAGCUCCAGGUUCUUUCAGACAGUUACUGGAUUGGAUUGUCAUAUUAUAAAACAAAAAAGGAAUGGUCAUGGAUUGAUAAUGGCCAAUCUGAACUUUCCUUGAACCUAAAGAAAUACAAUGUAAAGGAUGGAGACUGUAUGUUCUUAUCUAAAAUAAGACUAGAAAAUGCUAAGUGCAUGAACCCCUACCCAUGUAUUUGUCAGAAGAGACUGGAUAAAUUCCCUGAUUGACUCUCCAACAAGAGAUAAAGGAUUUAGUCUGCUGUGCAAACAGCGAGAUGAGCUGGAAGAGUGUGGGAAUGUUCUCUGGAAUCUGAUGUGGCAGAGCAGAGGCUUCUUCCAUCCUGGUGAAGACAGGACACAUUUUCUCUGGUGCAUGGACAUGGUUUGCUUCAAAGUCUCCAGGACUCUGCUCUUUCUGAUUUCUUAAACUCUUAUACGAUUAAAUUAAAUCCCAAUAACCAACCUGAGUAUUUAUUUAUAAUUACAAUAAAUCCUGUUAAUUG